UACGUAGGGGGCAAGCGUUGUCCGGAUUUAUUGGGCGUAAAGAGCGUGUAGGCGGCCAUACAGGUCCGUUGUGAAAACUGGAGGCUUAACCUCCAGACGUCGACGGAAACCGCGUGGCUAGAGUCCGGAAGAGGAGAGUGGAAUUCCUGGUGUAGCGGUGAAAUGCGCAGAUAUCAGGAAGAACACCAAUGGCGAAGGCAGCUCUCUGGGACGGUACUGACGCUGAGACGCGAAAGCGUGGGGAGCGAACAGG
rnacentral:rRNA from 1 species